GACAGAGGGUGCAAACGUUGCUCGGAAUUACUGGGCGUAAAGCGCGUGUAGGCGGGCUGAUAAGUCGGACGUGAAAUCCCUGGGCUCAACCCAGGAACUGCAUCCGAAACUGUCAGUCUGGAGUGGUGGAGAGGGAAGCAGAAUUCCUGGUGUAGAGGUGAAAUUCGUAGAUAUCAGGAGGAACACCGGUGGCGAAGGCGGCUUCCUGGACACUAACUGACGCUGAGACGCGAAAGCGUGGGGAGCAAGCAGG
rnacentral:rRNA from 1 species